CCGAGUGUUGUCACCAGUCUCACCGUUUCUAGUAAAACCACAUCAUCUGUGUCUCUAACCUGGAAUAAACCAACUGGGAACAGCUCCUUGUUUAUAGUAAACUGGACUGAUGGCAGUGUGAAUAUCAGCAGUAACACUUCAAACCUGUCUUACACUGUCACUGGUCUGACUGCUGGAGUGAACUACACAUUCAGUGUUACUGCAGUUGCUGCAGAUGGACAAACUACAGGAGCAACAAGUCAAAUAUCAGCAUUUACAAAUCCAGAUGUUGUGACUAAUCUCAGUGUCUCUAACAAAACCACAUCAUCUGUGUUUCUAACCUGGAAUAAACCAACUGGGAACAGCUUGUUGUUUAUAUUAAACUGGACUGGUGGCAGUGUGAAUAAAAGCAGUAACACUUUAAACCUGUCUUACAAUGUCACUGGUCUGACUGCUGGAGUGAAAUACACAUUCAGUGUUACUGCAUUUCCUGCAGAUAAUCAAACUACAGGAGCAACAAGUCAGAUCUCAGCAUUUACAAAGCCAGACAUUGUCAGAAAUCUCUCAUUCUCUGGAGUCACAAACACAUCUGUAAAUCUGGACUGGGCUGAACCCUUAGGAGAGACAUCAUUCUUUAGGGUACAGUGGAUAAGCAGCAGUAUUUCAACAUCUUUAACUUCUGCAACUACCUUUAACAUUUCCAAUCUACAACCUGGAACAAAUUACACAUUUACAGUCUCAGCUGUUGCUGCUGAUAAUACAACAGAAGGAUCCCGGGUUGGCCUUUCCACUUGUACAGGUGCAAGUCCUGUCUUUAACAUAAGCUGUGAAGGACCAAAUCGCACUGCAACAGCUCUGCUGAACGUAACAUGGACGAAUCCUCCAGGCAGCAACAAUGGAUUCAAUAUCAGUCUCAAUCACUUAUUCAGCAACUUUGUUCCAUCUUGCAAUCCUGUCUGCAACUACAUUUUUUAUACUAACCUCCAAUAUUUUAGCUCCUACACAGUGAUUAUUUCAACCCAUGGAUGUGGUGAGAGUUCCACAUUGGACUUUACAUGCAGAACAGGCAUUACA